rnacentral:tRNA from 1 species
GGGGAGAUAGCUCAGUGGUUAAGAGCACUGGCUGCUCUUCCAGAGGACCUGAGUUUGAUUCUCNGCACCCCCA